GCCUCUUCCGGGUCCCGGGCUUCGCGGCAGAUUCGUCGCGAUCUGCCCGCGGGGUCCGGCCCCACAGACUCGAAAAAUUCAGCGGCAGCUCUGCCAACGCACGGGGAGCUCGUGCUCCGCGGUCUCACGCUCUAGUCCGCGAACCGCGUGCGGAGCUGGGCCUCGGCGGCCGGGGCGAAUCGGCGGAGGGGUGGUAGCGGCGGGGCUGCCCGUGAGCGCGCCGGCGAGACUCCGGGACCGAGUGGGAUGGAUCCAGCGCAGUCUGCAGUCACGCUCACCGUCCGGGAAGCACUUCAUACCCUUUCCUCUUCUGAGGAUGGCGGCCACCUCCUUUCCACCCUGGGGGCCCUGAAACGGUAUCUCAGUGGAGCAGAGAACUCAGCCCUUCCCGGGGAGCAGGAGGAGUUUGCCAGGAUGCACUUUCCCGCCGUUCUCCGAUGUCUAGUGGGUAGGCUGAGCCCAGGCUGGCUGGAGCUUCUGCCCGACGGCCAGCUGGAGGACCUGUGGGCCAGCUUUUUCCUGGAGGGCCCUGCUGACCAAGCCUUCCUGGUGCUGAUGGAGUCCAUCGAGGGUGCUGCCGGCCCGAGCUUCCGUCUGAUGAAGAUGGCGCAGCUGCUGGCCAGGUUCCUGAGCGCGGGCAGGAUGGCCGCGGUGAUGGAGGGCCAGUCUCGGCAGCUGACGGAGCCGGCCUUCCGCCUGCUCCAGGAGACGCUCCUCACCAAGGUGGUGGGCUUGCCCGACCACCUAGGCAACCGUCUGCAGCAGGAGAACCUGGAGGCAUUCCUCCCCCAGAAUUACUUCCCUCUGCUCGGGGAGGAGAUCAUGCGGGUGCUGCAGGCGGUGGUGGACUCUCUCCGAGGUGGCUGGGACUGCUCCGUCUCCUUCCUGUCUCAGGUGCUCGGGAAGGCCUGUGUCCACGGGAGACAGAAGGAGAUCUUGGGCGUGCUGGUGCCGCGGCUGACGGCGCUCACCCAGGGCAGCUGCCUCUGGCGGCGCGUGUGCUGGCGCCUGGUGGAGUGUGUGCCCGACCGGGCCAUGGAGGCUCUGCUAAUGGGACUGGUGGAGGCUGCCUCGGGGCCCGACGUCCUCUCACGGCUCCUGGGGAACCUGGUGUUGAAGAGUAAGAAGGCCCAGUUUGUGAUGACCCGAAAAAUUCUGUUCCUACAGUAUCGAUACUCGACGCCCAUGCUACAGAGCCUGCUGGGGUACCUGGCCAUGGACAGCCAGCGGCGCCUGCUCCUCAGACAGGCGCUGAAGGAGCUCCUGGAGACGUGGGGCAGCCCCAGUGCCGUCCGCCACACGCCUCUGCCGCAGCAACGCUAUGUCAGCUCGGCCCUGCUCAUCUGCCUGGCGCACCUGCAGGACACGGAGCUCCGGGACAGCCGGGACGAGCUGCUGGCUAGCCUCAUGGCGGGAGUAAAGACUCGUCUGGACAGCAGCCUGCCCGCUGUGCGCCGCCUGGGCAUGAUUGUGGCCGGAGUAGCCAGCACCCGGAUCCACCCUGACGGGCCUCCCUUGAGGUUCCAGUACGAAGAGGAUGAGCUGAGCCGCGAGCUGCUGGCCCUGGCGGUGACCCCGCCUGUGGCUGACAGCCGCUCGGAGGUGGAGGCAAGCCCGGCUGUAGAGACCCCUGACGGAGGGAGCACGGACGGUGACGUCCCCCAGGCCCAGUUGGAGGGCUCGGGCUCUGACCUGGACAGUGACGAUGAGCUUGUCCCCUAUGACAUGUCGGGGGACCAAGAGCUGAAGAGUGGGAAGGCGCCUGCCUAUGUCCGGGACUGCGUGGAAGCCCUGACCUCAUCCGAGGACUGGGAGCGCUGGGAGGCAGCCCUGCGAGCCCUCGAGGGGCUGAUUGUCAGGAGCCCGGCUGCCGCCCGCGAGGUGAGCGUGGAGCUGGCCAAGGUGCUCUUGCACCUGGAGGAGAAGACGAGCGUGGUGGGGUUUGAGGGGCUGCGCCAGCGAGCCCUGGUGGCUGUCGUGGUCACAGACCCGGCCCCGGUCGCAGAGUAUCUGACCUCACAAUUCUACGCCCUCAACUUCAGCCUCCGGCAGCGCAUGGACAUCCUGGACGUCCUGACUCUGGCUGCCCAGCAGCUGUCUCGGCCUGGGCGCCUCCCCAAGGCUCCCCAGUGUGGCUCCCCGAGUCCCGCCUCCCAGCCCAGCAGCACCCAGGCUCCCGCCUGGCGGGCAGUCGUGCAGGAGCGGAUCAGAAGCAAGACCCGGCGGUUCUCUCAGCGCUCUCCCAGGUGGGGGCCGGACGCUGGCCCCAACGAAUUCAACUUGGUGGCUGGCUACUUCUUCUUCCCCCUCAUUCGGCACUUUGACAGGCCCCUGGUGACCUUUGACCUUUUGGGAGAGGACCAACUGGUUCUUGGGAGAUUGGUCCACACCUUAGGGGCCCUGAUGUACCUGGCUGUGAACACCACGGUGGCUGUGGCCAUGGGCAAGGCCCUCUUGGAGUUUGUGUGGACCCUUCGCUUCCAUGGUGACGCCUAUGUGCGCCGGGGCCUGCUGUCCGCAGUCUCCUCUGUCCUGCUCAGCGUUCCGGCCGAGCGACUGCUGGCCGACCUGCCUGAUGAGCUGCUGGAAGCCCGGCCCUGGCUGGCGGAUGUGGCGGAGCAGGACCCCGAUGAGGACUGCAGGGUGCUGGCGGUGAAAGCGCUCCUGCUUCUGGAGAAGCUCAGAGACACACUUGUCCCGCUGUCGUCUCCUUAGUCCCUGCUCAAGAAGGCCCUGCCCCGCUGGGGCUAGCCCGGCUGGCCUGAGGGCUCUGCCAGCGGUCCACGCGAGGGCCUCUGGUGCUGCCCCCGUGGACAGGGCCACCUGAACGUGGCCCAGGGGUCCCGAGGAGGGACGGAGCCGCUGGGGCCCCUGCGGGCUGCUUCUUAGCCUGUCCCCAAGCCCCUUCCUCACCUGAAUGCAGACUUUAAAAAACCACAAAAAGGAAGAAUAAAAAGGAGCUGCAGGAGCUGGGGACAGAGCUGCACCCGCAAGGCUGCCUCGUGGAGGAAACCCGCCCCGCAGAGGCCACCGUGUCACCUGGGCAAGGCCACCCCCAUGUCCAUUCCAGUGGACACCAGGACCUGUGGUCAGGAAUGGUGCGUCCCGCUGGAAAUAGUUGUGCUCUCAGGUGCCUGCCUGUGUGCUGGGACGAGGCGCAGUGAAUAUACUAACACGCACAGUCCAUCGAGUUCUAGUGUUUUAGGUUUUACAAUUUGUACUUGGGAGACUGUCACGGAAAAGAUGAGCCAACUCCCUUCCUAGUAAAGGGACCGCAGGGGCUAGGAAUGCCGGAAGGACACACGAUUGCCCCUUCUAAGCAGGAUAGCCAGUGCCCUGGGGCAUCAAAUACCAGUUUAUAUUUCAACAAGAAAGUCAGGCUCUUGCUACCAACCCCGGAAAGUUCCAGAGGAGCUUGCAGCAGCGGCUAUCAGGGGUCACUCUCCACCUCUUCCACCACCUCCUCGUCUACUUCCUUGUGGUCCUCCACGCUGUUGUGGCGGAUGCGCUCAGGCACGGUGCGCACCAGAGGGAUGCCCAGGCCCUGGUGCACGGCAUCCACGGUCCGCUGGUUCACGUAGUAGGACAUGUUGGCAGAGGGCACUCGCUUCCGCAUCUCCUCCAGGUACUUGUAGGCCUGGGUUGGGACAGCCGUUACCAGGUUAGUGCACGGCGAAAACCAAAGAGCCCACACCCUCUGUCCGGGGCGGUGAGUUUCCUGGACACCCACCCCGUGCCUUCACAAGAGGGGCCUGGGGACAACUGUCUAUGACCGCACAGCUUUUCCGAGGGCUGGCGGUGUCCAAAGCUUGGGCUCUGACUGUGCUGUCGGCUGUGGUUAGCACUCCCAGCUGAGCAGGAAAGCCCUGUGAGCAGCUUGGGUUGGAGGACCCGAGUGUUUGGGGGCCACGCUCCCUGCAGGAGACAUGAGGGAAGGAGGCAUUCACACUGCAGACGGCUCCAGGGUGGCAGGGCAGGCGGCCAAUGUAUGCCGUCCACCUGGUUUUCUCUGACCAAGCAUCAAAUCUGCCCCACCUUGUUGGGCCUAGGAUCAGUCUGAAUCUCUUGUAUAUAUGGUUCUCGAUCAUAAGCCAGUAAACCGUGGAGCUGUCAGUGGUUUUCCUGUGGAACUUACUCUGGUUCUGCCAGUGGGAAUAUGUGGGAGAGCCUGGGGUUGAGGGACCUGAGCCUCCCACAGAGCACCACACUUAUAUCUGCCCACACCUGUCCACGCGUGCCUACGCCUGCCCACGCCUGCUAUACCUGCCUGCACGUGCCUACACCUGCCCGCACGUGUCCGUGCCUCUCCAUGCCUGCUAUACCUGCCCACACCUGCCUACACCUGUCCACACCUGGUAUACCUGCCUGCAUGUGUCCACACCUGUCCACACCUGCUAUAUCUGCCUGCACGUGCCUACACCUGCCCGCACGUGUCCGCACCUGCCCACGCCUUUUACACCUGCCCGCACCUAAGCAUGAGGAGAGGAAUAGGUCUCAUGUGGCUUCUAACGCUUACCACCAAGUUCAG